GAUGAACGCUAGCGACAGGCUUAACACAUGCAAGUCGAGGGGCAGCGGGGAGCGAAGCUUGCUUUGCUUCGCCGGCGACCGGCGCACGGGUGAGUAACACGUAUGCGACCUGCCCUUUACAGAGGGAUAAUCGGGAGAAAUUCCGUCUAAUACCUCAUAAUACAUACCGACCGCAUGAUCGGUAUGUCAAAGGAGCGAUCCGGUAAAGGAUGGGCAUGCGGCGCAUUAGGUAGUUGGCGGUGUAACGGACCACCAAGCCGACGAUGCGUAGGGGUUCUGAGAGGAAGGUCCCCCACACUGGUACUGAGACACGGACCAGACUCCUACGGGAGGCAGCAGUGAGGAAUAUUGGUCAAUGGGCGAGAGCCUGAACCAGCCAAGUCGCGUGAGGGAAGACGGCCCUAAGGGUUGUAAACCUCUUUUGUCGGGCGACGCACAGCACAAGCCGCACGUGUCACGCUACUGAGAG
rnacentral:rRNA from 1 species